CCUACGGGCGGCUGCAGUGAGGAAUAUUGGACAAUGGGCGAGAGCCUGAUCCAGCCAUGCCGCGUGCAGGAAGACUGCCCUAUGGGUUGUAAACUGCUUUUAUACGGGAAGAAACACCCCCUCGUGCGGGGGCUUGACGGUACCGUACGAAUAAGGAUCGGCUAACUCCGUGCCAGCAGCCGCGGUAAUACGGAGGAUCCAAGCGUUAUCCGAAAUCAUUGGGUUUAAAGGGUCCGUAGGCGGACUGGAAAGUUAGAGGUGAAAUCCCAGGGCUCAACCUUGGAACUGCCUUUAAAACUAUCAGUCUAGAGAUCGAGAGAGGUGAGUGGAAUUCCGAGUGUAGAGGUGAAAUUCGUAGAUAUUCGGAGGAACACCAGUGGCGAAGGCGGCUCACUGGCUCGAUACUGACGCUGAGGUGCGAAAGCGUGGGGAGCAAACAG
rnacentral:rRNA from 1 species